rnacentral:rRNA from 1 species
GAUGAACGCUGGCGGCGUGCUUAACACAUGCAAGUCGAACGAUGAAGCCCAGCUUGCUGGGUGGAUUAGUGGCGAACGGGUGAGUAACACGUGAGUAACCUGCCCUUAACUCUGGGAUAAGCCUGGGAAACUGGGUCUAAUACCGGAUAGGAGCGCUCACCGCAUGGUGGGUGUUGUGAAGAUUUAUCGGUUUUGGAUGGACUCGCGGCCUAUCAGCUUGUUGGUGGGGUAAUGGCUCACCAAGGCGACGACGGGUAGCCGGCCUGAGAGGGUGACCGGCCACACUGGGACUGAGACACGGCCCAGACUCCUACGGGAGGCAGCAGUGGGGAAUAUUGCACAAUGGGCGCAAGCCUGAUGCAGCGACGCCGCGUGAGGGAUGACGGCCUUCGGGUUGUAAACCUCUUUCAGUAGGGAAGAAGCGAAAGUGACGGUACCUGCAGAAGAAGCACCGGCUAACUACGUG